AGCGAACGCUGGCGGCAGGCUUAACACAUGCAAGUCGAGCGGGCGCAGCAAUACGUCAGCGGCAGACGGGUGAGUAACGCGUGGGAACGUACCUUUUGGUUCGGAACAACACAGGGAAACUUGUGCUAAUACCGGAUAAGCCCUUACGGGGAAAGAUUUAUCGCCGAAAGAUCGGCCCGCGUCUGAUUAGCUAGUUGGUGGGGUAAAAGCCUACCAAGGCAACGAUCCGUAGCUGGUCGAGAGGACGACCAGCCACACUGGAACUGAGACACGGUCCAGACUCCUACGGGAGGCAGCAGUGGGGAAUUUUGGACAAUGGGCGCAAGCCUGAUCCAGCCAUGCCGCGU
rnacentral:rRNA from 1 species